GUGAGUACAGCCUUCAUGGAAACAAUUGCUCAUGUGCGCCGUACAUGAGCUAUGGCAUAAAGUGAGUGAAUCAGAUUUUGCCUUGCCAUAUUAUACUUCACCGAGAAGCAUUGCAUGCUACAAAAUGUGGCCUUGGAGGAAACAGAGUACAUUGGUUCAUCGUAACAGAGCAGCUGGGGCGUGCAAUGAGAAGCAAAACGAAUUAGAAAGUUCUGCUAAGGACCAAGAGUGGCUCUGGCUCCUGCUGUCUGUCGCCUCCAGGAAGAGUAUCUCCAUGCUCUGCAAGAUGAUUUAGGAUGCAGUAUUUGCUAUGGUCCCAUUUUACAGGCACAGAAUUAAGCAAAACUGAGACCAGUCCCUAAGGAGGAUACAGCUGCAAGAAACUGAAUAGCACAUCAGUGAUGUUAGUCUUUCUCAGCUGAGCUGGAGUUUCUUUGAAAAUGCCCACAUCUGAAAUCUGAAAUCUCUUCCCACCUGCCUCCAAGAGAGGACUCUGCUUUUGAACACAGACUGUCCCAUCCCUUCCAAUGCAGUGUGUGCACGGCAGUCACUCUGAUAGAGAGGAAUGCUGGAUGCCUUUCUUCUCAGCUUCAGUCACUGCUGGGUUUGAAGCUACUACAGGAAUGAUACGAAGUGAUGCUGCUGAUGUUCUUGUUCUCUUACUAUAGUGCAGAUCUUAGCAAGCUGCCUGCAUUGCCAUUCUCACAUGGCCUCGAUGAGGAGCUGGAUACUCCUUUCUGUUUUAAAAUUUCAACUUUGAUUAACUUUAAACAUACUUGAACUGAGAUGCUUGUGUGGGUUCUCAAUAACAUAACGUGUUAUUGACAACUGCCCACAGGAGACCUGCUUCAAGAGCUCCUGUCUCUGGAUGAUUUGUGCAUCACUUAUAGGGAGCUCCAGGUGAAUAAAUCCUGACAUUAAAUGCUUUGUCUUGGUGAAUGUGAUUUACUGUGAAGCUUCCAUAGUGGCUGAGGAAAUGCUUUACCUUUUCAGUCUCUUCUAAGGCCGUGAAAGCAACUUAAAAG
ensembl:lncRNA